rnacentral:lncRNA from 1 species
GUCGAACCAUUUGUGGUGCUGCUGAUGCUGAUGCAGGUGCUGGAGCUGGAACUGGUGGAGGUGCGUGAUAGAGGUUGGCCGGAGCCGAUCCUGGAACUGGAGCUGGGAUCAUGUAAACAGGGUGAUCCGCCGGCGGUGGUGGUCCUGGGGCUGCCGUUACGGUUGCUGGGAAACCCCCGGAUGAAAUUUGUUUAUCCGGCCAGAUUCCGGCUGUCGCUGGCACAUGCUGUUGUACGGUCACCGGUUGUGGUUUUUCAGGUAACUUCUGGGCGUAGUAUUCCCCUGUAUAAGGGAAAGAAGCAGCUUCUUCAUUCUUCUUCCUAUACAUAGCGAGCUGUUCUUGAUCCCGAAUUUGAAGCCUCUGCAAUUCUUGUAGAUGUUCUUGAUCCCGAAUUUGAAGCCUCUGCAAUUCUUGUAUCUGUCUUUGAAUUUCACCUGGACUCAAAGCAUGAUCCGUCCCAACGACUUCCGGUACCGGAGGUGGCGGCGGUUGGAUCACCGGUUCCGCCACGGGAUCACGGAUUUUAACCGGCGGAGGUGGAGCCAUCCCCUUUUCAAGUCCAAACAAGAAAUCCAUAUUGCUUUGCGGGAUCGCAGCGGUUUUC